GGACUACAAGGGUAUCUAAUCCUAUUCGCUACCUAAGCCUUCGUCCUUCAACGUCAGUUUUUAGAUAAAAGGUUGCUUUCGCCAUUAUCAGUCCCCAUAGUAUCAGUGAAUUUUAUCUCUACUCUAUGAGUUCUCCCUUCUUAAAUAAAACUCUAGCAAUACCGUACCUUAUUUUAGGCUAAUAAUGCUGUCUAAGUACCCUUUAAACCUAAUAAAGAUGAAUAACACUAGUCUUUUACGUAUUACCGCGGCGGCUGGCAC
rnacentral:rRNA from 1 species